AGCACAGUGGUUAAGAGUGUGGCUCUGGAAUCAGACUGCCUGGGUUCAAAUCCCAGCUUUGCUA
rfam:Macaca mulatta chromosome 11, whole genome shotgun sequence.